GAUGAACGCUGGCGGCGUGCCUAAUACAUGCAAGUCGAGCGAAGCGGGGACGGGUGAGUAACACGUGGAUAACCUCCUAUAAGACUGGGAUAACUUCGUGACACCGGAGCUACACCGGAUACUCAUAGAUGGAUCCGCGCUGCAUUGGCUAGUUAGUACGGUAACGUCUUACAAAGUCAACGAUGCAUAGCCGACCUGAGAGGGUGAUCGGCCAAACGGGAACUGAGACACGGUCCAGACUCCUACGGGAGGCAGCAGUAGGGAAUCUUGCGCAAUGGGCGAAAGCCUGACGGAGAAACGCCGCGUGAGUGAUGAAGGUCUUCGGAUCGGAAAACUCUGUUAUUAGGGAAGCGGUACCUAAUCAGAAAGCAACGGCUAACUACGUGCCAGCAGCCGCGGUAAUAC
rnacentral:rRNA from 1 species